CCAGUGUGGACAUGAGGGUCCCGGCUCAGCUCCUCAGCCUCCUGCUGCUCUGGCUCCCAGGAGCCAGGGGUGACAUCCAGUUGACCCAGUCCCCACCCUCCGUGUCUGCAUCUCCGGGAGACAGAGUCACCAUGACAUGCCGGUCCAGUUAGAGUGUUGGCAACAGUUUACACUGGUAUCAGCAAAAACCAGGGAAAGUUCCUAAGCUCCUGAUCUAUGGUGCAUCCAAUCUGCACCCCGGGGUCCCAUCGCGCUUCAGAGGCAGCGGGUCUGGGACAGACUUCACGCUCACCAUCAGCAGCCUGGAGCCUGAGGAUGACGCCACUUACUACUGUCAGCAGGGUAAUAGUUUCCCACCCACAGUGACACAGGCCUGA